AUUGAACGCUGGCGGCAUGCCUUACACAUGCAAGUCGAACGGCAGCACGGGGGCAACCCUGGUGGCGAGUGGCGAACGGGUGAGUAAUACAUCGGAACGUGCCCAGUAGUGGGGGAUAGCCCGGCGAAAGCCGGAUUAAUACCGCAUACGACCUACGGGUGAAAGCGGGGGACCGCAAGGCCUCGCGCUAUUGGAGCGGCCGAUGUCAGAUUAGGUUGUUGGUAGGGUAAAGGCCUACCAAGCCUGCGAUCUGUAUCUGGUCUGAGAGGACGACCAGCGCAACUGGGACGGGGACAAGGCCCAGCCCCCUCCGGGAGGCAGCAGUGGGGAAUCUUGGACAAUGGGCGCAAGCCUGAUCCAGCCAUGCCGCGUGCGGGAAGAAGGCCUUCGGGUUGUAAACCGCUUUUGUCGGGGAAGAAACGCUUCAAGAUAAUACCUUGAAGUAAUGAUGGUACCGUAAGAAUAAGCACCGGCUAACUACGUGCCAGCCGCCGCGGUAAUAC
rnacentral:rRNA from 1 species